UAGACUGUAGCUAAAACAAAGCAUCUCCCUUACACCGAGAAGACACUCGUGAAAACCGAGUCAGCCUAA
rnacentral:tRNA from 1 species